UUUUUCCUUUCGCUGAGUUUCCAUAUGGGAAACGGGGGAUCCGCAACGUAGCUUGGGCAUUCUUUUCAAUCAGCCUAAAGUUACAUUUUCAGGGGUGAAUCUUGAGCAUGGGCCGGCUUUGAACGAAGGCCAUUCUCAGGUAGGGCGACUCUCAAGUCCGAAUCCGUCAGCUAACCUCGUAAGCGUCUAGAGAGAGGUAAC
rnacentral:sRNA from 2 species